rnacentral:rRNA from 1 species
AAUAGAUACCCGGGUAGUCCACGCCGUAAACGAUGAGUGCUAAGUGUUAGAGGGUUUCCGCCCUUUAGUGCUGAAGUUAACGCAUUAAGCACUCCGCCUGGGGAGUACGGCCGCAAGGCUGAAACUCAAAGGAAUUGACGGGGGCCCGCACAAGCGGUGGAGCAUGUGGUUUAAUUCGAAGCAACGCGAAGAACCUUACCAGGUCUUGACAUCCUCUGACAACCCUAGAGAUAGGGCUUCUCCUUCGGGAGCAGAGUGACAGGUGGUGCAUGGUUGUCGUCAGCUCGUGUCGUGAGAUGUUGGGUUAAGUCCCGCAACGAGCGCAACCCUUGAUCUUAGUUGCCAUCAUUAAGUUGGGCACUCUAAGGUGACUGCCGGUGACAAACCGGAGGAAGGUGGGGAUGACGUCAAAUCAUCAUGCCCCUUAUGACCUGGGCUACACACGUGCUACAAUGGACGGUACAAAGAGCUGCAAGACCGCGAGGUGGAGCUAAUCUCAUAAAACCGUUCUCAGUUCGGAUUGUAGGCUGCUAAC